UAGUGGACAAGACUGCAAGUCACACUGAACAGCAGAUUGUUGUCUCAAGCCAGUGCUGAUCAAUGACAGUUUAGCUGCAGUCUGUCAGAGAAGAGAGGAAAGAUGAGUCUCUCACAGAAACAGAGUGUAAGAUCAGACUCACAUGUGUCCAGCUCUGUGUCUGUGAAGAGUGACCGGUCAAAGGAAGAAG